ACUGCCAUUCCACCCCCAGAUUCAAAUUUAACUGAAAUGUCACCUCCAUUACUUCGAAUAUGAUCAUCUUUGUGUCCAAAAGUAAUGUCAGCUUCAUUAUCAGUGAAUAUUUUCUUAUCUACAUCACUCACUGCUGGAUGGAAGAACCCUGAUGUGAUACAACCCCUUCACUUUACAGAUGAAGAAAAAGAGACCAAGAAGAGUAAAGAGGCAUGCAGGUCUAAUCACCCAUAGACUUCAAAGUAGGAUUUGAACCCAGGUCCUCCACAUUCAGAGCCAGUAAUAAAUAAACCAAUAAUAGCUCAAUGCCUAGAUCAAA